rnacentral:misc_RNA from 1 species
CCCGUACUGGUACGGUCACGGCGCCUCUGAUCUAAAGACUAAACUAAGCCAAGUGGACUGGAACAAGGUCAAGGACAAGCCUAAGGUUCAUCCAAUAGGAGGUCACUAUGGAAAAUGGGCCUGUUAUCGUUCUUCAGACGAUUGAGGAAAGUAUCUCGUAAGCAGAGUUUUCGGGUUCUCCUUCUUGGUCUUGAUAAUGCUGGCAAGACAACCAUCGCCAAGAGCCUUUGCCAUGAAGAGAUCACAGAUGUCAAUGCUACUCUGGGUUUCAACAUUAAAAAAAUGAAUGCAGAAGGGGUAGAACUUAAACUUUGGGAUGUUGGAGGACAAAGACGGUUGCGUCAAUACUGGGAGAAUUACUUUGAUGAUACAGAUCUCUUGAUAUAUGUAAUUGAUAGUUCUGAUACUAAAAGAUUGGAAGAAACAGGAGAGGAGCUAGCCCACCUUCUGGAAGAAGAGAAGCUAAAUGGAGUUCCGUUGUUGGUGUUUGCAAAUAAGCAGGAUCUAGUUGGAGCAGCUCCUGCUGUAGAGAUUACAGAAGGUCUAAACCUUCAUACUAUCAGAGAUAGAGUUUGGCAGAUGCAAGCUUGUUCAGCCAUCACUAACGAGGGUAUUGAGGAUGGAAUACAAUGGCUAGUGAAGGAGGUUAAGAAGUGAUUUGAGGAUGAGCCAUUAAGGUACUCUGUGAUGACACCCCAUUUUACCAUCCAAACCAUCUGUAUUUUUCAAGACACCCCUUGCUACCAUUCAAAACUGUAUUCUGUGCUAGCACCCCAUGUUACCAUCCAAACCAUGUAGGUAUUCUGUGAUAACACCCAAUGUUACCAUCCAAACCAUCUAGGUAUUCUGUGAUAACACCCCAUGUUACCAUUCAAACCAUGUAAUGUAGGUUUUCUUUGAUGACACCCCAUGUUACCAUCCAAACCAUGUAGGUAUUCUGCGAUGACACCCCAUGUUACCAUUCAAAACCAUCUAGGUAUUCUGUGAUAACACCCCAUGUUACCAUCUAAACCAUGUAAUGUAGGUUUUCUUUGAUGACACCCCAUGUUACCAUCCAAACCAUGUAGGUAUUCUGCGAUGACACCCCAUGUUACCAUUCAAACCCUCUAGGUAUUCUGUGAUGACAUCCCAUGUUACCAUCCAAACCAUCUAGGUAUUCUGCGAUGACACCCCAUGUUACCAUUCAAACCCUCUAGGUAUUCUGUGAUGACACCCCAUUUUACCAUCCAAACCAUCUGUAUUUUUCAAGACACCCCUUGCUACCAUUCAAAACUGUAUUCUGUGCUAGCACCCCAUGUUACCAUCCAAACCAUGUAAUGUAGGUUUUCUUUGAUGACACCCCAUGUUACCAUUCAAAACCAUCUAGGUAUUCUGUGAUAACACCCCAUGCAUCCAAACCAUCUAGGUAUUCUUUGAUGACACCCCAUGUUACCAUUCAAAACCAUCUAGGUAUUCUUUGAUGACACCCCAUGUUACCAUCCAAACCAUCUAGGUAUUCUUUGAUGACACCCCAUGUUACCAUCCAAACCAUCUAGGUAUUCUUUGAUGACACCCCAUGUUACCAUCCAAACCAUCUAGGUAUUCUUUGUUGACACCCCAUGUUACCAUUCAAAACCAUCUAGGUAUUCUGUGAUAACACCCCAUGCAUCCAAACCAUCUAGGUAUUCUUUGAUGACACCCCAUGCAUCCAAACCAUCUAGGUAUUCUGUGAUGACACCCCAUGUUACCAUUCAAAACCAUCUAGGUAUUCUUUGAUGACACCCCAUGUUACCAUCCAAACCAUCUAGGUAUUCUUUGAUGACACCCCAUGUUACCAUCCAAACCAUCUAGGUAUUCUUUGUUGAUACCCCAUGUUACCAUUCAAAACCAUCUAGGUAUUCUUUGAUGACACCCCAUGUUACCAUCCAAACCAUCUAGGUAUUCUUUGAUGACACCCCAUGCAUCCAAACCAUCUAGGUAUUCUUUGAUGACACCCCAUGCAUCCAAACCAUCUAGGUAUUCUUUGAUGACACCCCAUGUUACCAUUCAAAACCAUCUAGGUAUUCUUUGAUGACACCCCAUGUUACCAUCCAAACCAUCUAGGUAUUCUUUGUUGACACCCCAUGUUACCAUCCAAACCAUCUAGGUAUUUUUAAUGACACCCAUGUUACCAUCCAAAACCAUCUAGGUAUUAAUAAUAAUUAGACCAUUUAUAUAGCGCAGUCACUAUAUAAAUAUACUCUACUGCGCUGUAGUGUGACAGAGCUCCCAACAAUGCUACUGCUCAAACAAAUUAAACAAUUAUGCAUAUAAUACAAUUAACCAAGAACCUUUGAAAAAAGAUGGGUCUUCAAUAAAUGUUUGAAGAUGUUAACAGAUGGUGCUUUUUCGUAUUUCCAGGGGUAAUUUGUUCCAAAGCUUUGGAGCAGCACAACUGAAAGCACGAUCCCCAAGAGUUAUUUUUGUUCUCAAGUGAGGUAGCUUUAGAAGCAGCUUAUCCUGUGUAUUCUGUGAUGACACCCCAUGUUACCAUCACAAAACCUUCAAGGUAUUUUUCGAUGACAUCCCAUGUUACCACUUAAAACCAAGUAUUUUUCAGUGUUUCUGAUUCUCUAAUUUAUAACAAUGCAUUUGGAAGAUCAGAUUCGCAUGACUUUUUUUAUUAUUGUGUGCUUAAAUAAUGAAGUGCUUUGUGCUUAGAAUAUUUACAGCCGUCCAAUGAAUUGCUUUAAUGUGAACAAUUUUUGGGAAACAUUAAGCAGCUGAAAUAUUUUAUAUUAUUGUAUUAUACAUGUACAUUGUUGUAUAUAGUCAAGAGUGUUUUUGUGUAAUGUUAAUAUUUUUCUUCACUGAUUUAAAGAGAGAAUUUUGAAAAUAGCAAAUGUAUUUAUUCAUCAUCUAGAUGUAACAAAUAUCAUAAAACACACAAAAAAAUGUUCAUAAAACAGUGUUUCAAGACAACCCUGUGCAGUUACAUGUAGUAUACAGUGUAUGGUUAUGAACAGUAGAAUGCAGAUUUAAAAAAAUAACAUGCUCUGUGAGAGAAAUGAAAAUGGGAAUCAAAUCUGUUAAAGCUGGUAAUAAAAUUAGUGAAUUGCAGAACACAGUAUUGCAGGAAUUCACUUGCUUCAUUUGUUUUUGCUUUUAAUAUUAGCAAGUCAUUCACGUAGCUUUCAGUGUGAAAAACAUUUGUGAAGUCUUCAUAAGAUUUGAAUAUGGGUCCAAUUAAAAAGGUCCUAUUUUGUAACAAUUUUCACUAGCAUUAUAAUUGCAGUCUACCAGUCUAGGAACCUUGUAAUUGUAUUUUAUUACAUCAGGUUUUUGUGUAUCAUUUGAGUAGGUUUAUCUUGUCAUUAUCCCUUCCCUUUCUCACCCUCAAUCAUGAAACCAUCUACAAUGAGAAGGCUUGCUACUAUUCCACUGGCAGUACACUCUGUGGCUGACCUUAAAGCCAGGCUCACACCUCUUUAAGCUGCAUAUUGCUGUGUUAGCUUACUCAGCCUAACGCAGUAUACUACACUGCAAAAAUAUUAGGUUAUAAUCACACUUUUGCCUAUGUGCUUGUCAGAGCCUGUACAAAGUUGCAUACAGUAAAGGGAGGAGCUACAUGUAUUUCAAGGUAAAUCAAGCAUUAAUGCCUGUGCAAGCCACAUGCUCCUGCUCAUUCUUGUUCUUUCUUGGUUACGUCCAGUUGCGGAUAUUUGUAAAGUUUUCAAACUACCAAGCACAACGCAAGGCUUCUGAGUUAGUCUGCGUAUUUACCUUGUAUUAUCUUGUUUCAUUGCAUUGUGUUGCAUUUGACUGCGUCUGUCUACGUUAUGGCACUCUGUGAAUAAACCCAAGCCCAAAAUGCAAAGGUCUGAACCAGGAGUGCUGUAUGUUGAUUGCAGAAUUUUUUGAAGGCUGUAGAAGAAUGAUCUACUUUUAUUAGGCUUACUACAAAGUCAGUAGCACUGCAUCAUUUAAUAUAAAUUAUGCUAUGAAUGUGCUAAACUUGUGUCUUUCACAGUAUCUUGCCUAUAUUUCACAUUAUUUGUCCAUUAUCAAAUGUGAAGAUUAGCAAUUAUAUUAUGCUUGCUGAAUUCUUGCAGGAAAGACAAGGCUCAGAGUUCUUUGAGGGUGCCUGACUGUCUUACUUAUCAUUAUAUUGAAAAAAAUGAACAUUACAUUGACAAGCAAUAUUGUAGAUGUGCAAAAUAUUUCCUUGCAUAAAAAAUUUAGGUGCUUCAGGUUAAAAAAAAACAUUCCAGGUUAUACAAGAACCAAUGCCUUAUUAAAAAAAUCCUGUAGUCUAUAUACAAUUUGGUAUAAGUGGGGAGCUAUUAUUACUGUUAAUAGUUUUAAGUUCAUGUUGUACUUAUGUACUGUGUGUGUGAUGGUGUGGACAUAUUGAUAGUAGAGAGGUUUUUUUUUCUUUAUUAAUGAAAAGAAUUAUAAAUCAAAUAUUUCAAUGGCAUAAUUACUGGUUGAAACGGAAGUUGAAAGUUACAAGCUUUAAUUUUUGCCUAUUUAAAAUCCAGUAUAACAUCCAGUUAUAUUAACCAGUAUAAAAUCCAGUAAACAGUAAGUGGAGCGUUGUGGCCCAGUGGAUAAGUCUCCGUACUUUGAAACUGGGUUGUGGGUCCAAAUCCCAACCAUGGCAUAGUUUCCUUCAGCAAGUAAUUCAUCCACAUUGUGCUCCACUCAACCCAGGUGAGGUGAAUGGGUACCUGGCAGGAAUUUAUUCCUUGAAAUGCAUUUGCGCUAUAAUCAGUAAUUACAGCUGCCAAGCUACAGCUGGGGUAAUAAUAUCCAAGUCCUUUGGAAGCGCAUAGAGACAUUUUUCAUAAUGUGAUGUGCG